UUACAAAGAGAAAAACACCAUUUGUGUUUUCAGGUACCUCCUGCCUCUGCGGAUACGGUUUUGGGCUGUGUGAGAAGCGCCUCUUGCUGUUCCGUUGCUGCUCUCUAGACUUGACCAGUCAUGAAAUUAUGAAGUGCAGAAAAUAACAGUAAAUGGGUCCAUCUGCCUUGGAGAGCAGGAGUGGAAGAGGCUUGGCCUUACCCCCAGGUGGGAAGCAGCACACAGAGGAAGAGGCCGGCACAGCCAGGCUACAUGUCUGCACCAGCCAUGGCUACUUUGUGGACCUAGAAGGACGAUGAGAGCCGUGCCGCCAAAGUACAAUUGAUUUACACGUGCUGAGAGCAGCGCAGUUUGUGUAACACCGUUUACCUGCCCAAGGCUGUGUUAGAGGGAUGCGUAACGUAGUUCUAUACACGGUGAAAACGCACAUGGAUUUUACUUCACUCUCUGCGUUGGAGUAAAUUGAAGAAGAAUGAUUUCAGAGUGGAUCUGCCCUCCUGAAGAGGGGGGAGUUCAGCCUGAGCCUCAUCUGCUCAGCAGGGAGUGAGAGCGGCAGGAGCCAAGUGUGCCAUUAGUGCUCUGUGUGACACUGGUACUAGCCUGGCAUUUUACGCACUGGAGGGAUGUCAGUGCGGAUUAUACAGCAAAAUCAUCACCGCUGAUCUGCCUGGUAACAAAGCUGCUAUACCUCUAACGAUGCUAUUGAGAUGAGCCAACCUGAGGGAACCAAGUUAUCGGAGGAGGUCAACGAAGCAGCCCACGCAAGCCUGAGGUUUGAAGCGGGACAGGACCUGGUGCUGCAGAUAGUGGGAGCCCUCAGGUGUGCAGGCGAUGCAAGGAAAAGAGGUUAAAAGUCUGAUCAUAUGCCUGCUGUACACGGAAAAUCAUCAAGUGACUGCAGCAAACGCCUCUCAGAACACAAAGCAGCAUCAGGCAGGCAGCAGCUAAAAGAAGACCCCGCCAUGAGGGGAAGCAAACAGUGGGGCUGUGGUUUCCCACUGAUUUCCCCAGCCCUUAGCUGGUGGAGGGAGGAUUACUAAACCCUUCUGCUUUGCUCUGAAGUGCUACAAAUAGAACGGUAAAUCUAAAUAAUGAGGUGCCCGCUGUUCCCUUCAGUACGUGCUGCAGAUGACAAGCAGGGACCGAAAACCAAAAGGAAAACUAAGUAUAGCUGAAGGCUGUUGUACCCACCAUGGGGCUGACUCCUGAAUUGUGUUGAGGUAUAUACUUUGUACUUGUGUUGCACAUCCUGCAAUUGUGACUGCCUUGUGUUGUAAGUGAGGCCGAUUAUUCAUGCCAGGACGCUCUCUGCACCAGUGACCCCCCGUUAUAUGGCUCAGCGCCCACUCUGAUGAGCUACAGAAAAGGGAGGUUGUAUCCUGAGAUCAGAGCAGUGGUUCGCAAACUUUUCCCCAAAUUUCCCCCUCUUCUGCCUCCUAAGGAAGGUGGCAAGUACAAUGGCAUUGGACCACUUUCCCCAUGAUGGUCCCUAUGUUAUCAAGCCCAGCCCACAAGGAACCUUGGCUACAAAAAGCCUGAUGGAGGGUCUUCUGAAGGGGUCUACUCAUGCCUGCCCCUGAUAAAUGCUACCUCUGGUUUGAGAUUGCUUAUCACAGACUGGAAUUGGUUCAAAAGCUCCAAAACCUGCCUGUGAUUGUGAGCUCGAUAGUGAAUCUGAGAGCUGCUAGCUUUCAACUGCCAGCAAAGGCAGACUGGACAGGGAUUACGCCAAGGCUGAUGUUAUUUCUUGUGUGUUGGCCUACACUUGAGGCAAACUAUUGCUUUCCUUAUCUACUGCAAACACUUAAAACCCUCAAGUUGGGUUUCUGCAAGUAGAAACCUCAGAAAGAGGGUGAAUGCCUACAGAAACAUGCUGAGAGGUGAAAUUUAGGCACCAUCUCUAGGAUUGAUCAGAGCCAUAUAUGAGGCCAUUGAUGCCUCAUCCAAACUUCUGUUUAAUUUGCAUGUGGUGAAUACAUUGGAUGAGCUCAACUACCCGGGUCUGAAAGUAGCAUUUUUAAAAGGAGGUGUAACUAUUUGUAAGCAAGGGCUAGGUCUGAGCCACUUGCCAGUUUUAUUGCUUCAGUGGAUUAGAAUUAAAGGGUAGGGUCCUUUUUUCCCCAACAUAAGUAUUGAGCUAGAAAUUCAUGGCUACUUUCAGAAGUGAUCCAAGUCCUUCAUAUUCCACGUGGAAUCUAUUCAGAUGAACAAAAGUGUUUUCACUUGUGAGCAGUUAAAGGCUAAGAAGGGUUCUUCAGCAACGCACACAUACAUUCACAUUCUCUCGCCCUCUUGAUCAGGAUCCUCAGCUGCGAAUUCAAAGGCCUCUGGUCAAGGCUUUCCUCUCAUGUAUGUGUCUAAAGCACCAAUUUGCAAGUUUUUGGAGUGGAUGAGCCUCCAUUUAUUGAACCUGAUAAAACUUUGCUGAUAGAAAGCCGAUUUCUGAUUUAGACUUAACUCCUGUCUGCAUUAUCAAACAUAUUCCUGACCAUUCCUCCACACUCCUUAGGAUUUUCAGUUAAUUGCAUCAGUUAUUGGCAAUUGGUGAUCCUGUUAGCAGCAGUUCCCAGAGUCCCAGCCAAAGCGAAUGUGAUGGCAGGUCACGAUCUCAGCAUGCUGAAUCAUUUUUGAAGGGGGACCUGACACUUUCAAAAGAGGCUUAAGCUACUUGCCAUUUCUCUGGGGUAAUUCCUACAUAUCACCUGGCAUACCUGGGCUGAGUACAUCUACUCUGGCUAAUGCUUCCUGAAAUGACAGAUUUCAGAAUAAUUCUGUGUUAUAUAUUUGGAUAGCUGCUUCACAGGCUGCUUGUCUUUGAGAAAUGAUAAUGAAAAGCAAAUGAUUAAAAAAAUGAGAAAAAAGAAAGAGGUUAAUGGUGCUGGAAUGAAAUGGGAACACAUGUCUAAGUGAAGAUUUUAGUGUUUUGGGGCUCUGGUUUGAAGUAGAGCUGAUUGCCAAAGUAACUGGAUAACAUAAAUUUUCUUUAAAUUUCUUUGCAAUUUUGCAGCUAAUACAACUCCAGUGAAAGUUCCUAAUGUUAUUUUUCCUCUUAACCUAAUUAACAAACUGAAAAUUUAUGCAGUCCUAAACGGAAUUACUUUCUCCUAAGCACUGCAGAGGGAGUUAUUUCUCAGGUACCUAUUAAAGCAUGGCUGUCAAUGCUAAUGCUUCACUCCAGCUACAAUACCUGAAUGCUCUUCACGGGAAUAAUACAUCGAAACGGCUCUGUCUGAGGCCAUGUUCCCUUAUGAUGCAAACUGCUAACUUUAACUGAAGAGAGUAUUGCCCCACCUCCAUUGUUAUUGUUUUAGAUGCUGGAGUUGUUAAUUUUAGCAUAUUUACCUGCUGAACAUUUAGAAAAGCCUGGAUAUGGAUCAAAAAGCUGUUACAUUUUAAAGAAGAAUUGAAAAACCCCAAACCCCUUAGUCUUAAUUCCAUAAAAGUCUUCAAGAACUCUUGAUUAAAUUAUUAAAACAGAAAACAAAUUG